rnacentral:lncRNA from 1 species
UUUUUAAAUCAAUAGAAACAAUUUUUUUUUCUCCUUUAUAUACUCACUAAGAGUCAUAUCAUUUUACAAAAAAUGUUUCUUUUUUAUAGACUCACGAAGAGUUGUAUCUUUUUACUACGGGUGUUGUUGACAUUUUUAAAUUUAUACAACAGUAUUAAACAAAGAACUUUAUCGAGACCAUUUUCAAUUGGCUUUGAAUCUAAAACCUACAUUUAAUAUAAGG